CACGUAGGGUGCGAGCGUUGUCCGGAAUUAUUGGGCGUAAAGAGCUCGUAGGCGGUGUGUCACGUCGGCCGUGAAAACCUGCAGCUUAACUGUGGGCGUGCGGUCGAUACGGGCAUCACUGGAGUUCGGCAGGGGAGACUGGAAUUCCUGGUGUAGCGGUGAAAUGCGCAGAUAUCAGGAGGAACACCGGUGGCGAAGGCGGGUCUCUGGGCCGUAACUGACGCUGAGGAGCGAAAGCAUGGGGAGCGAACAGG
rnacentral:rRNA from 1 species